rnacentral:rRNA from 1 species
AGCGAACGUUUGCGGCGGGCUUAACACAUGCAAGUCGAACGGGCUGUUCCUUCGGGGGCAGUCAGUGGCGCACGGGUGCGUAACACGUAGGUAAUCAACCCUCUGGUUGGGGAUAACACUUCGAAAGGAGUGCUAAUACCCGGUAUGGCGCAGCGGUCUUCGGAUCGCGGCGAGAAAGACCCGCAAGGGUUGCCAGAGGACGAGCCUGCGGCCCAUCAGCUAGUUGGCGAGGUAACGGCUCACCAAGGCGAAGACGGGUAGCUGGUCUGAGAGGAUGAUCAGCCACACUGGAACUGAGACACGGUCCAGACUCCUACGGGAGGUAGCAGUGGGGAAUAUUGCGCAAUGGGCGAAAGCCUGACGCAGCCACGCCGCGUGAGCGAUGAAGGCCUCGGUCGUAAG